rnacentral:rRNA from 1 species
CACGUAGGGCGCAAGCGUUGUCCGGAAUUAUUGGGCGUAAAGAGCUCGUAGGUGGUUUGUUACGUCUGCUGUGAAAACCUAGGGCUUAACCCUGGGCUUGCAGUGGAUACGGGCAGACUAGAGGUAGGUAGGGGAGAAUGGAAUUCCUGGUGUAGCGGUGAAAUGCGCAGAUAUCAGGAGGAACACCGGAGUGCGAAGGCGGUCUCUGGGCCUACCUGACACCUGAGAGCGAAAGCUGGGGAGCGAACAGG